UACGUAGGGUGCAAGCGUUAAUCGGAAUUACUGGGCGUAAAGCGUGCGCAGGCGUUUGUUGAGACUGUCGUGAAAGCCCCGGGCUCAACCUGGGAAUUGCGAUGGAGACUGCAAGGCUUGAAUCUGGCAGAGGGGGGUAGAAUUCCACGUGUAGCAGUGAAAUGCGUAGAGAUGUGGAGGAACACCGAUGGCGAAGGCAGCCCCCUGGGUCAAGAUUGACGCUCAUGCACGAAAGCGUGGGGAGCAAACAGG
rnacentral:rRNA from 1 species